rnacentral:rRNA from 1 species
GUGUCAGCCGCCGCGGUAAUACGUAGGGUGCGAGCGUUAAUCGGAAUUACUGGGCGUAAAGCGUGCGCAGGCGGUGCGUUAAGACAGCUGUGAAAGCCCCGGGCUCAACCUGGGAAUGGCGGUUGUUACUGGCGCGCUGGAGUGUGGCAGAGGGAGGUGGAAUUCCACGUGUAGCAGUGAAAUGCGUAGAGAUGUGGAGGAACACCAAUGGCGAAGGCAGCCUCCUGGGCCAACACUGACGCUCAUGCACGAAAGCGUGGGGAGCAAACAGGAUUAGAAACCCCCGUAGUCC